rnacentral:rRNA from 1 species
UACGUAGGGUCCGAGCGUUGUCCGGAAUUACUGGGCGUAAAGAGCUCGUAGGUGGUUUGUCGCGUUGUUCGUGAAAACUCACAGCUCAACUGUGGGCGUGCGGGCGAUACGGGCAGACUUGAGUACUGCAGGGGAGACUGGAAUUCCUGGUGUAGCGGUGGAAUGCGCAGAUAUCGGGAGGAACACCAGUAGCGAAGGCGGCACUCUGGGCCGGUACUGACGCUGAGGAGCGAAAGCAUGGGGAGCGAACAGG